UAGGCUGAUGCCAAGGUCCCAGAUGGCCAGGCAGGUCAUGAAAAGACCAUGACAACCCUGCUUCCAGCGCUUUCAGGAUGUAACACCCUUUAUGGUGCGG
rfam:Methanohalophilus mahii DSM 5219, complete genome.